rnacentral:rRNA from 1 species
GUGAACGCUGGCGGUAGGCCUAACACAUGCAAGUCGAACGGCAGCACAGUAAGAGCUUGCUCUUACGGGUGGCGAGUGGCGGACGGGUGAGGAAUACAUCGGAAUCUACUUUUUCGUGGGGGAUAACGUAGGGAAACUUACGCUAAUACCGCAUACGACCUACGGGUGAAAGCAGGGGAUCUUCGGACCUUGCGCGAUUGAAUGAGCCGAUGUCGGAUUAGCUAGUUGGCGGGGUAAAGGCCCACCAAGGCGACGAUCCGUAGCUGGUCUGAGAGGAUGAUCAGCCACACUGGAACGGAGACACGGUCCAGACUCCUACGGGAGGCAGCAGUGGGGAAUAUUGGACAAUGGGCGCAAGCCUGAUCCAGCCAUACCGCGUGGGUGAAGAAGGCCUUCGGGUUGUAAAGCCCUUUUGUUGGGAAAGAAAAGCAGCAGGUUAAUACCCCGCUGUUCUGACGGUACCCAAAGAAUAAGCACCGGCUAACUUCGUG